rnacentral:rRNA from 1 species
AAACUCAGGUGGAAGGGCGCAGCGGUACUGACGUGCAAAUCGUUCGUCAGACUUGAGUAUAGGGGCGAAAGACUAAUCGAACCAUCUAGUAGCUGGUUCCCUCUGAAAUUUCUCUCAGGAUAGCUGGAACAAUUUCAAGCAGUUUUAUCAGGUAAAGCGAAUGAUUAGAGGACUCGGAGCUCAAAAGAGCUUUUGACCUAUUCUCAAACUUUUAAAUUGGUAAGAUCUAUUAGUUCUCUUAAUUGAACUGGUAGGCAGAAUGCAUUGUUCCAAGUGGGCUUAUCGUGGUAAGCAUGUUAAGCAAUGAGGGAUGAACCUAACGCUGAGAUAAGGCGCCAAAAUUCCCGCUCAUCAGAUACCAUAAAAGGUGUUGAUUCAUAUAGACAGCAGGACGGUGGCCAUGGAAGUCGGAAUCCGCUAAGGAGUGUGUAACAACUCACCUGCCGAAUGAAUUAGCCUGAAAAUGGAUGGCGCUGAAGCGGGAUGCCGAUACUCAGCCAU